rnacentral:rRNA from 1 species
AUGCAAAUCUUAACGAAGCUGUUCGAGGUCCUUCUGGACCGUUUAAAAAAACAGUAUUCAGCAUUUUUCACACGCACGGUUGCCAGAGCGAGAGCUCCACAGCCUGGAGUUCACCAUAAAACGCUCCCCCGAGGCCACAGACCGAAGCACAACCCAGCUACAAGUCACAGCGAGUCACCGACAACUCCACUCCACUCCACAUCCAAAAUGUCCGCCAUGACUUUCUAUAUCUUUGCUUCCUUGAUGGGCCUGUGGACAGGGACGGCCAUGGCUCUCGAAGGAGACAUCUUCAAGUUAGCCGGCGAAGUAGCGGCCAUUUUGCCGGCGCCGGUGAGGAAGACCGUGGGGGCACUGGCGCGAAGCAGCCCUGCCCGUACCGCCUCCGAUGCCCUGGUAGGUCUCUUUCUGGGCAUGGUCUGCGUGAUGUACACGGCCACGUUCUUGUACGUCGUCGCGGUCCGAGCCUGCGGCGGGAACUGCUCCUUGGCCUGCGUCCUGUGUGAGAUCUCGGACCGUUCCGAGACGCUCUCCCUGCUUCUCUUAGCGCCGGCGGUUGCGCUCUUCUUCCUUCGCGCCGCCGGCUGCAGGAGCCUCGAGGUCGCGGAUUUCAAUCAGCGGCCUUCAGUCCUUGAACGCCUUCAGUCCACGUCGCCGCUAAUCUUGGUUGCAGCGUUUUUGCUUGCAAUCAUCUCUUUGAAUCUUCAGUCUCCGCAGAUCUCUGAGAUUCUAGGCGUUGCGGCUAUGUUCUUCGCGCACCUAUUUUUCAUCCGCUUCUACAUCCGUGCUGCACAGGCGCUGUGGAGGAUGAAUCGCAGGUCGGCAAUUGACAUGGUGGCAGAGUAG